rnacentral:rRNA from 1 species
UACAGAGGUCUCAAGCGUUGUUCGGAUUCAUUGGGCGUAAAGGGUGCGUAGGUGGCGAGGUAAGUUGGAUGUGAAAUCCCGGGGCUCAACCCCGGAACUGCAUUCAAUACUGCCUUGCUUGAGUACUGGAGAGGAGAUUGGAAUUUACGGUGUAGCAGUGAAAUGCGUAGAUAUCAGGAGGAACACCGAUGGCGAAGGCAGCUCGCUGGGACGGUACUGACGCUGAGACGCGAAAGCGUGGGGAGCGAACAGG